AACUGAUACUACCUGCGGGAACCUGCGGAGGGAUCAUUACCGAGCACCCGCCUCCUAGGUGGACCUCACCACCCACUGUGAUCGAUACGACCGUUGCCUCGGCGGGCCGCCCUAGGCGCCCGCCAGAGGCCCCUAAGACCCUGAACAUCUGCGCCGUCUGAGCACUUUAGAAUCAUAAAAACUUUCAGCAAUGGAUCUCU
rnacentral:misc_RNA from 1 species